UGCAUUCAAUAUCUAAAGCAGACAUAACACAGAUACUGUGUGUAAGAUGCUCUCACUGCUUUACUGUGGAAUGUUUCCUUUGGUUCUCAUCAUACUAAAAGGUGUCAGCUGUGAACAACUGACUCCAGUCAAGGAUGAAGAGUUCAGUUCAGAAGGCAGCUCUGUUACUCUGUCCUACACAUACUCCAAAAAAGCUGCUGCCACUGAUUAUUUCUUCUGGUAUCGACAACAUCCAGGAAAACCACCACAGCUCCUCAUCUCUCACUCUGCUUCAGGAGCAGGAAGAACUGAUUCAAUGAAAGGACUGAAGAUUGAAGUGGAGCAAAACCAAAUCAACAUGACCAUCACCUCUGCUGCAGUGACAGACUCUGCUGUGUACUACUGUGCUGUGAAGCCCACAGUGACAGGAAACAGCACAACUCUGUACAAAAACCUUUGGAGCAAAGACAACAGAAUACUCCACAACAUCCACUAGAGGGAGUCACACACUGCUCAGCCUUAGUGGUUUCUUAUGAUCCAGUCUGGAUUCUUUUUACUCAUGAGACACAGCUGUGAUGAAGAGCUUUAGAAAUGAAGAUAAUCUGACACCAGUCUCCUCCUACUGACCUGUAGAGGGGGCUGUUUGGCAGAGAACUGUUUCAUUUCAGCUGUGAACCAAACACAACUCACAGAACCACUCACAACUUUGUCUCACUGAACAGUUACAACACUUCACCUCAGUGAACAUGGAAAAACUCGCUGCUCUUUUGUUCUUCUCAGCUCUCGUAGGAAACAGCUUGGAGGAUGAUAUUACUGCCAGCAGAGCUGAAGUGUUUUCAUCAGAGGGUCGUACUGUUUCUCUGUCCUGUAAAUAUUCAGUUAAAGCUGAAAACCUCCAGUGGUACCGACAGGAUCCUGGAUCAGGUCCUCAGUAUCUUCUCCUCAUCACUGACACAAAGGAGCCUGAUGUGGUGAAAGCAAAACCUCCACACCCUGGACUGACUGCUGAACUGAACGAGGAGAGGAAUCGAGUGGAUCUGCAGAUCUCCUCUGCUGCAGUGACAGACUCUGCUGUGUACUACUGUGCUCUGACGCCCACAGUGACAGGAAACAGCACAACUCUGUACAAAAACCUUUGGAGCAAAGACAACAGAAUACUCCACAACAUCCACUAGAGGGAGCCACACACUGUUCAACCACGCCAGAGGAAACCAAUCAG